rnacentral:lncRNA from 1 species
CAAUAGGCCUGGGAUGAGGGAAAUGCUGGAAUAAAAUUGGAUUGGCUUCUAUAAAAUAAAGAGAUACGAUUUUUUUUUCUUUUUGGCACAUCUGAGCUUGUGAGCUGGCAUUCCUACCAGAUAUGGAAGGCUAACAUUUUCUGGAUUAGCAAUUGGUUUUCCUUGUCUGUUUUGAUGCUGCUCUAGGCAACUCUGAGGUCCCCUCCACACACCUGAAGAGGAAGCCCUACAGGAGAUCUAAGAAUCGUGCUGGGACUGUGAAUAUAUGGAUUAACCAAAUCCGCUGUCCCACCGAGUGAAUUCUGAUUGGUUGGUUAUGAACACAGAUGGGCCCGUUUGCUGCUCCUGCCCACCCUGGGAUGGAGGAAGGAUCCACCAUCUGUGAUACCAGUAAUCAAUGAGAUCCUCAGAUCAUUGGAUCAGAUGCCCAGGAAUGGACACAAAUACUUGAAGCAUCUCUUCUCUUCCUUCAGGACAAAUGUCACCUCUUCAGAAAGUCCUCCUCACAUCAUGGCAUCAAAGUAGGUCAUCUUAUCUAUUUUCACUUGUUUAACUCCUUAGUAGCCUUUAUAACAAACUGAAAUUAUAUUGCUUAUUUGUUUACUUGUUUGUCUUCAAGCUCCCUCCAUGAAAGCAGAUACCAUGCCCUUCUCACUCACAUUGUAUCCCUAGCACUUAGCACAGGACUCUGAAUAUAU